CUGAUGGCGAGUGGCGAACGGGUGAGUAAUGCAUCGGAACGUGCCCAAUCGUGGGGGAUAACGCAGCGAAAGCUGUGCUAAUACCGCAUACGAUCUAAGGAUGAAAGCGGGGGAUCGCAAGACCUCGCGCGAUUGGAGCGGCCGAUAUCAGAUUAGGUAGUUGGUAGGGUAAAGGCCUACCAAGCCGACGAUCAGUAGCUGGUCUGAGAGGACGAUCAGCCACACUGGAACUGAGACACGGCCCAGACUCC
rnacentral:rRNA from 1 species